rnacentral:lncRNA from 1 species
CGGCGGAUGGCGGUCUAGGUGAGAGACGGCGGCGUCCCGCGGCGGCCCGGUCGGGGCCGGGACACGCUUCCGGGGCAGGGGCUGGGGACGCGCGCUCCGCUCUCGCCACCGGGAGCCUUCCGGCCGCGGCGGAGCGGAAGGCGACUCCCCAUCGUGCCCUGGGGGCUGCCCCCGCUCCGGGAGGUCCGAGACCUGGCCGCCGCUCUGGCCGCACUGUGGGCGUCGUACCGGGCGGGAGCAGGGGCCCCGCCGACGCUGGAAGUGGGCCCGCAAGGAGAGCAGGUGCCGGAGCACCGCGGCGAAAGGUGUGAGACCCCAGUCAGCGCGCCCGGUGACCGCUUUCCAUGUUGCCGGGAGCGCGGGAAGGCGAGCCCUGACUUUCUGGAGAAACGAAGGGUUUGUGAACGCCUUCUCUCUUCCUCUCAGAAUGCAAGCAAAUCUGUAUAAAGACCCAGGAAUGCUUUUCUGAGGACCUGGAAGCCAUUUCUUUCAAAUGCAAACAUAAAAAAGAAAAGAAAGGAAAAAAAAGCAAACAUCAAGGAAAACUGAGCCCCUUCUGCUUGACGCCUUAGAAGCUUAUUUAGCCAGGACGCCCAACUCUUGGUUGUAACUACCUGCCUAUGCUCCUUAGUGUGACGACAAUUAGCUAGCACCAAUUACCUGGUGGUAAUUAUAAACAAUAAUUAAAACUAUAAAACAAUAUAUAGCAUUAAGUCCUCUUACGUGAGGACAAGUGACCAAUUUUCUUGCGACAUGUAUGUAACGAACACGUGCAUGUGUUUUCUUGGCCGUAUAAAAAGAAUGGGAUUCUUUGUAGUCUCUUCACCAGAUUGGCUGUGAGGAGCACUGAAAUCUAGCUAAAUGCUUCUUCAGUAAUAAAACUUUUCUUUCUGCAUUGUGGAGUUUUCUGGCUUGACAGAAUAUCUUAUUUUUAGAUUUUUCCUCAGUAAUCAGAACCUGCCCAUUCCUUCCAUUGGUAUAGUAAGGCCCUAAAUUGGAAUAGAUUCAUAAGUGAUGAAGGUAACCUCUGCUAGUGCCUCUUGUUUGCAUUAUCGCUCAGAUCCGGG